GGAAUAUUGCACAAUGGGGGAAACCCUGAUGCAGCAACGCCGCGUGAGUGAAGAAGGCCCUUGGGUUGUAAAGCUCUUUAGCGUGGGAAGAAGGUAGAUAUGGUGAAUAAUCAUGUUUGCUGACGGUACCACGAGAAUAAGCACCGGCUAAUUUCGUGCCAGCAGCCGCGGUAAUACGAAAGGUGCAAGCGUUACUCGGAAUCACUGGGCGUAAAGCGCACGUAGGCGGACUCGUAGGUCAAUUGUGAAAUACCUGGGCUCAACCCGGGAACUGCAGUUGAAACCGCUUGUCUUGAAUACCUGAGAGGGUGGGGGAAUACCUGGUGGAGAAGUGAAAUUCGUAGAGAUCAGGUGGAACACCGGAGGCGAAGGCGCCUGCCUGGCAGUGUAUUGACGCUGAGGUGCGAAAGUGCGGGGAGCAAAC
rnacentral:rRNA from 1 species